AAGGUCUUCAAAUGUCUGGAGUUGCAAUGAGUACACACACUCUAGGCCUUCAUGCUCUACCCUCUACUAAACCAAGAUGCUAAUCCAGAAAAGAGCUGGGGUGAAGGGUACAGUAAUUAUCAUUUCCUAAAAUCAAUGUUGAGAUUCACCAUUAUGAUUUCCACCAUCUUGAAAGAGAUCAACGGGCAUGUCUUGGAUUCCAUGAUUUGCCACAGUGAUGUGACUGCAGUGAGGGAGAAAAGAAGGGACACAGGUGUAUGCCAGUGCUGGUCAGGCGUAUAGAUGAUGAGGUAACAAAUAGACUAACUUUUUAAAGCAUCCUGCUGGCAUCAUGGAGAAUGGUGAGAUGAGAAGAAUGCUGCAUAGAAAUCACCUCCUUGGGAAGCCUUCCUUGACAUCCAAAGCUGUUUUCCCUGUGUAGUCCCCAAAGCAACCAACACAUAUGUAAUGAUUAAGAGAGAAGGUGUCAGUGUCUGAUUGCCUGAACUUGAAUCCCAGGUCUGCCAUUUCAUAGCAGGUUCCUAACCCGGCUGUGC